UACGUAGGGGGCAAGCGUUGUCCGGAAUCAUUGGGCGUAAAGCGCGUGUAGGCGGCUUGGUAAGUCCGCUCUGAAAGCCCGGGGCUCAACCCCUGGAGGCGGGUGGAUACUGUCAAGCUCGAGUCCGGAAGAGGCGAGUGGAAUUCCUGGUGUAGCGGUGAAAUGCGCAGAUAUCAGGAGGAACACCAAUGGCGAAGGCAGCUCGCUGGGACGUGACUGACGCUGAGACGCGAAAGCGUGGGGAGCAAACAGG
rnacentral:rRNA from 1 species